UACAGAGGGUGCAAGCGUUGUUCGGAAUUACUGGGCGUAAAGGGCGUGUAGGCGGUUGAACAAGUCAGAUGUGAAAUCCCGGGGCUUAACUCCGGAAGUGCAUUUGAAACUGUUCGGCUAGAGUGUAGUAGAGGAUGGCGGAAUUCCCAGUGGAGAGGUGAAAUUCGUAGAUAUGCGGAGGAACACCGAUGGCGAAGGCAAUCCCCUGGACCUGUACUGACGCUCAUGCACGAAAGCGUGGGGAGCAAACAGG
rnacentral:rRNA from 1 species